GAUGAACGCUGGCGGCGUGCCUAAUACAUGCAAGUCGAGCGAACAGACGAGGAGCUUGCUCCUCUGACGUUAGCGGCGGACGGGUGAGUAACACGUGGAUAACCUACCUAUAAGACUGGGAUAACUUCGGGAAACCGGCGCUAAUACCGGAUAAUAUAUUGAACCGCAUGGUUCAAUAGUGAAAGUCGGUUUUGCUGUCACUUCUCGAUGGAUCCGCGCCGCAUUAGCUAGUUGGUAAGGUCACGGCUUAGCAAGGCGACGAUGCGUAGCCGACCUGAGAGAGUGGUCGGCGGCACGGGAACGGGGACAGGGUCCAGAGGCCUACGGGAGGCAGCAGUAGGGAAUCGGCCGCAGUAGGCGAAAGCCUGACGGAACGACGCGGCGUGAGAGGUGGAGGUCUUCGGUGCGGAAAGCUCGGUUUUUGGGGGAGAACAAAUGUGGAAGUAGCUGUGCACGGAGUGACGGUAACGGGUCAGAAAGCCACGGCUAACUACGUG
rnacentral:rRNA from 1 species